rnacentral:rRNA from 1 species
UAGGGAAUCUUCGGCAAUGGACGGAAGUCUGACCGAGCAACGCCGCGUGAGUGAAGAAGGUUUUCGGAUCGUAAAGCUCUGUUGUAAGAGAAGAACGAGUGUGAGAGUGGAAAGUUCACACUGUGACGGUAUCUUACCAGAAAGGGACGGCUAACUACGUGCCAGCAGCCGCGGUAAUACGUAGGUCCCGAGCGUUAUCCGGAUUUAUUGGGCGUAAAGCGAGCGCAGGCGGUUAGAUAAGUCUGAAGUUAAAGGCUGUGGCUUAACCAUAGUACGCUUUGGAAACUGUUUAACUUGAGUGCAAGAGGGGAGAGUGGAAUUCCAUGUGUAGCGGUGAAAUGCGUAGAUAUAUGGAGGAACACCGGUGGCGAAAGCGGCUCUCUGGCUUGUAACUGACGCUGAGGCUCGAAAGCGUGGGGAGCAAACAGGAUUAGAUACCCUGGUAGUCCACGCCGUAACGAUGAGUGCUAGGUGUUAGACCCUUUCCGGGGUUUAGUGCCGUAGCUNACGCAUUAAGCACUCCGCCUGGGGAGUACGACCGCAAGGUU